GCUGCAGUAGCUCAGAGGGAGAGACGGUGACAUCUCUGUGUCAUCGGUUCGAGUCCGAUCUGCAGCA
rnacentral:tRNA from 1 species